rnacentral:rRNA from 1 species
UACCAGCACCCCGAGUGGUCGGGACGUUUAUUGGGCCUAAAGCAUCCGUAGCCGGUUCUACAAGUCUUCCGUUAAAUCCACCUGCUUAACAGAUGGGCUGCGGAAGAUACUAUGGAGCUAGGAGGCGGGAGAGGCAAGCGGUACUCGAUGGGUAGGGGUAAAAUCCGUUGAUCCAUUGAAGACCACCAGUUGGCGAAGGCGGCUUGCCAGAACGCGCUCGACGGUGAGGGAUGAAAGCUGGGGGGAGCGAACCGG